rnacentral:lncRNA from 1 species
CUUCCUGGAUGGCAAAGAGAUGAACCAGGUGUUUAAAGGAGAAAAACUACAAAAGAAGGUAACCAUGGAUUGUAUUUUCUCCAAAAAUUUAAAGUAGAAAUGUAACACUGUGUACAAUUAUCUUCUCUUAGUAUUGGGCAUUGGAGUUUGUCAAGUAGGGUACACAUUCAUGUGCCCUAUACAUCGUAAACCAGCAUUUUAAAGUAUAGAUGGAUGUAUGCAGAAGCUCAAGACAACAAGUAUGCAUAUAUAUACAGCCUUCGCAAAUAAUACGGAAGAUUAUGUGGUUUUCCUACCUGUGAAAGGGAAUUAACUUCGUUUCCUUCGUGCAACCCAUGCAAUUUUCUCUAUUUUUUACAUGUACUGUUUAAUAUUUUCGUUUUGAAGAUCUGUCUUCACUCUUCACACAUUUUCAUUUGUUUAUGUUAUGCAGAAGAGGAAUGAUCCCAGUGGUCAGGCAAGUGGUAUGAACCCCAACUAAAUAUACAACUUUGAUUGCUUGAGUUCACACAUUCCUGCAAUUUUGUAUUGCAAUUACCUCAUAUAGACACACAAUUUACCAAUUCCAUUGUUUUAUAUUGUGAUACUAAAUUUUAAACAUUUUGUUUAAUUGAAAGUGCUUCCAUAUUCUAGAGCAUUGUAUUACUAGCUUCAACUAACCCGAUAUUUGUAAAGCAGGUGCAAGUAAAUCUAGAAGAGGAAGGAAGGCUGCUGAUACUAGGACAAGGGCUUUGACGCUUGAAAAACCAUUCCACUAUGUGCCCGAGAAGCUCCCAGUACGUUUCAUAUAACCUCUGAAAUAUUCAUGAGACGAAUAAUAGCAGUUUGUUUAGUACUAGUAGUCUAGCUACACACUGCAAUAUGUAUCUUGGUGCGUCGCCUGAGAAUAAUCUGAACCUCAUGGAGGAACCUGCCUGUUUCGAUGAUUUUUUUAUGUGCUAUGUAAGCUUGACAGUUACACACCCGAGAUUAUGC